UACGUAGGGUGCAAGCGUUUAAUCGGAAUUACUGGGCGUAAAGCGUGCGCAGGCGGUUGUGCAAGACAGAUGUGAAAUCCCCGGGCUCAACCUGGGAAUUGCAUUUGUGACUGCACGGCUAGAGUGUGUCAGAGGGGGGUAGAAUUCCACGUGUAGCAGUGAAAUGCGUAGAGAUGUGGAGGAAUACCGAUGGCGAAGGCAGCCCCCUGGGAUAACACUGACGCUCAUGCACGAAAGCGUGGGGAGCAAACAGG
rnacentral:rRNA from 1 species